GACGAACGCUGGCGGCGUGCUUAACACAUGCAAGUCGAACGGACAGGCCCUGCUUUUGUGGGGUGCUCGAGUGGCGAACGGGUGAGUAACACGUGAGUAACCUGCACUUGACUUUGGGAUAACUUCAGGAAACUGGGGCUAAUACCGGAUAGGAGCUCCUGCUGCAUGGUGGGGGUUGGAAAGUUUCGGCGGUUGGGGAUGGACUCGCGGCUUAUCAGCUUGUUGGUGGGGUAGUGGCUUACCAAGGCUUUGACGGGUAGCCGGCCUGAGAGGGGGACCGGCGACAAUGGGACUGAGAGACGGCCCAGACUCCUACGGGAGGCAGCAGUGGGGAAUAUUGCACAAUGGGCGGAAGCCGGAUGCAGCAACGCCGCGUGCGGGAUGACGGCCUUCGGGUGGUAAACCGAUGUCGCCUGUGACGAAGCGUGAGUGACGGUAAGGGGUAAAGAAGCACCGGCUAACUACGUG
rnacentral:rRNA from 1 species